CCUACGGGUGGCAGCAGUGAGGAAUAUUGGUCAAUGGCCGAGAGGCUGAACCAGCCAAGUCGCGUGAGGGAAGACGGCCCUACGGGUUGUAAACCUCUUUUGUCGGGGGGCAAAGAGAGUCACGUGUGACUCAUUGAGAGUACCCGAAGAAAAAGCAUCGGCUAACUCCGUGCCAGCAGCCGCGGUAAUACGGAGGAUGCGAGAGUUAUCCGGAUUUGUUGGGUUUAAAGGGUGCGCAGGCGGAGGUGCAAGUCAGCGGUAAAAUUGCGGGGCUCAACCCCGUACUGCCGUUGAAACUGCAUCCCUUGAGUGCGCGAGAAGUAUGCGGAAUGCGUGGUGUAGCGGUGAAAUGCAUAGAUAUCACGCAGAACUCCGAUUGCGAAGGCAGCAUACCGGCGCCCAACUGACGCUGAAGCACGAAAGCGUGGGUAUCGAACAGGAUUAGAUACCCGUGUAGGC
rnacentral:rRNA from 1 species